UACGUAGGGUGCAAGCGUUGUCCGGAAUUAUUGGGCGUAAAGAGCUCGUAGGCGGCUCAGUAAGUCGGGUGUGAAACCCUCAGGCUCAACCUGGGGACGCCACCCGAUACUGCUGUGGCUAGAGUCCAGUAGGGGAGUGUGGAAUUCCCGGUGUAGCGGUGAAAUGCGCAGAUAUCGGGAGGAACACCAGCGGCGAAGGCGGCACUCUGGGCUGGAACUGACGCUGAGGAGCGAAAGCGUGGGUAGCAAACAGG
rnacentral:rRNA from 1 species